AUUCCUUACAUGUAAGAACUAUGUACUCACAUCAUUUGUAAAGGAUCUUGAAAAUGUUUUUGUGAAUCUCUUGUUCCUUUUGUUCUGUUCUAGAUUGAAGGACAAAUUGGAGAUAGCGCUAUGGAUAAGCCAGACGUCAGAGGAUAAAACAGAAACCUGCAGACAACAGGAUACAAAGGGAGCACAAAAACCUCUUUCUG
rnacentral:lncRNA from 1 species